AAAUCUCCAGCUUUGAGACCCAAACUCCGGCUGAAAAAUUUCAAAUCUCUAGUUGUGAUUUUUCAGUUCUGUCACAUGUAUGCAAUAUUUAAACAAACACAGCUUUUAACAUUGCAUUUAUUGAUUUCAGGGAUUCACAGAAGCUAGAAAAGAACAACUGGAUGUGUUGAAAGAAACAUUGACCAAGAACUUAGCCAAAGCCAUACUUCAGGAAGGGACAGUAAAAAUAUUUUGAGAACUCCUCUGAUUAUGAUCUCCAGGCAGCAGUAAAAUUACAGACUCCUAAUUCAGGGAACGUAAUGUGCACAUAAAGAUUCCUAAAAUUCAUUUGCUGAAUAUAAAUGCAUGUGUUACAUGUUGCAUAAAAUGUGUUCAGCUUAUCUUUAUUUAUUGAGAUUGUGACAAAAGUCUAAUUGCUUUGAUUGAAUCAGAUGAUUCAGAUGAUAAUUAAAAACUGAAAUAAAACUCUCUGUGUGAUUUUUAAUAUUUUGAAAUUUCUGCUCCUAUGGAUCGUUGGAAGAAAGAAAAGUAAAUCACUAAUGUUAAUCUGUCAAGAAGAAUUUAUAUUUGUACAUCAAGUGGACAAAUAAAGACUGAAAAUGCACACAUUGUUUCAACACAUAUAAACAUAUCUAUAAAUUUCAUGUCAAUGGAAUAUAUCAGAUGUACAUGUCAAUGGCAUAUAAUGUCGGAACGUAUGUAUUGCUACUUCCUACAUGUAUAAUGUAUGCAACAUUUUAGGUGCAUUAAAUCAAGUGAAAGAA